rnacentral:rRNA from 1 species
GACGAACGCUGGCGGCGUGCUUAACACAUGCAAGUCGAACGGAAAGGCCCUGCUUUUGUGGGGUGCUCGAGUGGCGAACGGGUGAGUAACACGUGAGUAACCUGCCCUUGACUUUGGGAUAACUUCAGGAAACUGGGGCUAAUACCGGAUAGUAGCUCCUGCUGCUUGGUGGGGGUUGGAAAGUUUCGGCGGUUGGGGAUGGACUCGCGGCUUAUCAGCUUGUUGGUGGGGUAGUGGCUUACCAAGGCUUUGACGGGUAGCCGGCCUGAGAGGGUGACCGGCCACAUUGGGACUGAGAUACGGCCCAGACUCCUACGGGAGGCAGCAGUGGGGAAUAUUGCACAAUGGGCGGAAGCCUGAUGCAGCAACGCCGCGUGCGGGAUGACGGCCUUCGGGUUGUAAACCGCUUUCGCCUGUGACGAAGCGUGAGUGACGGUAAUGGGUAAAGAAGCACCGGCUAACUACGUG